AUUAUUGUAAAUCAUCUUGGUUUUAAAGUAUGCCUUUUUUUUUCUUACAACACUAUAUAUGUUGUGAAACCAGAUUGUUAGUACCCCUUCCCUAGAAAGAGAGUUGAGAGAAACUGUCAGGUUAUUUAAUAAGCAGCAGCAGUUUUGAAUCCAAGCAUUGUCACUGCCCCAAAAAUGUGCUUCUGUGGGAAUAGAAGCAUUUCUCUCAGAUGGGGUUUUAUGAAGAGGUACAUUGUGUGUAAGAAAGGCACAAAAUGCAGAGAGGCUGGGGAGAGAAGGCUAGAGGGGUUUGUCUAGAGAAAAGCAUUUGAUGAAGCCUAAAAAAAAACUUGGGAAUGUUACUGUUUAAAAAAAAAGUCUAAAAAGAGAUAGUUUUGUACUUGAAGGGUGGCUGAAACAAUUUUGGAUAUGCUUGUUCUAAAGCAGUAUCUGUCGCUGGUUCUUCUUUUCUGUUUAUGGAAACAAGAUUUGUAUUUUUCUUGUAAAUAAAUAAAAUUUCUUAAGAGAACCAAACAAAUUCCAAGACCAGUUUUCCUUCUUAGCCAAAACAGUCUGUGUUGUUUCCAAGUUUUUGACUAACCUUUUAGUCAAAAAGAGUAUGUGAAUUUUGUAUUGUAAUUUUGCAAAGUGUUGCUGAGCUCAAAUGCCUAUUAGUGUUGUUAGCACACAGUAACAACCCAGCCCUGCGAACAGUGUCUAUAUAAAGUUCUAUGAGACUAUUUAUAGUAUUGAAAAUUACACUCACUGGUAAAUAUUUGCAAGGACUGGGCUUAAACUCUAGUAUUAGGCAGAAAAGAGGACAGCCUUCUAAAGAUGAUUAAACAGAAAAAUACAAAAUUAAAUUAUUUUAUUUUCCUACAGUUUCAUAUCCCUCUAUAUCCUGUCCCCACCCCCGCCCCAACCUGAGUUUCCCUUGAGCAUGCUUACAGAUUUCGUUUCUUUCCUUACUGUGCCAAGUUUCCAUAUGCUUGCUAUCUUUUGUGGGAAACUGUUUUGCCCCAGUUUCCUAUUUUUGUGUGUGUGUUGUGUGAACAGUAUUCCCUUGUCAGACUUCAAAUGUGACUGUCCUAACUUUGAGGUCACUCUGAAUUCCUGUUUAUGCUAGUAAGUCAUUACCUAUAUUUUUGGAACUGCCAUUUCAGCAUAAGUGAUACGUCAGGUAAUUUGUUCUCUUUAUUAGGUUAUGCUUUCUGUCCUCAGAUAUGUUCUGACUAUGCAAGAGUCCUUUCUCCAGUUCAUUCUUGAUUAUUGAUUUAUCCAUGCCCAUGCUUGGUACAGAAGGAUGCCAAAAGCAAGUUUUUUUCUUGGGAGUCAGAAAUAGGCUGCUGAUCAGUUCCCGUUCACACCAAUGGAAUGCAGCCUGUGCUUUCAGAUUUUUUCUGCCUUGAUUCUUUUUCUGUUUUCCAGAAACUGGAGGCAGUUAUGUUUAGCCCCUCAUGCCUUCUGUUCUGCAGUGUUGGUGCUAUGAGAGGUGUAGGGUGGAUGGCAAGCUUCUAAGCUGGUCAAUCUUUUGUUUUAUAGUUGAUGAUGCUUCUUUAUAUGCUGUUAGGUGGCGCUAAACUUGGCAAUGAGUUUGUGUGUGUGUCUGUUUUUAUCUAUCUAUCUAUAAAAAGCUUUUAUCAAAAAACAUAGUUUGAGACUUGCCCAUACAUAGUCAUCUGUCUUUUCACACGUAUAAUUGUUUUUCUAUGAGACAAAAUCUUCUAGCCAGCUAAUUCUUCUACAGACCUACGCAUAGAGAUUGUAGUUAAGAUCUCAUUUAGAACAUUUCUUCUGAGAAAAUGAACUCAGUUUUCCUAAAUAGUGGAUAAUGGUAAGUAUCAUUUUCGUGGGAAGCACCCUGCUGAGGUCUGAAAAAUCAGCAGACCAUCUUACCAAUGACAAGAAGCUCAAAAAGCAAACAAUAAGAAGCCUCAUAUCUCUUGUGUACAGCUUCAUUAAGUUGAUAUUCUUUGUUAAAGGAAUUGCUGGGCCCAACAGCAUGUAAGGGGCAAGGCUGCUGCAGCUCCCUGCACCCAGUUCCAACCAGUAAUGAGGCUGAAAAUGUAUUCCUCGUAGGCACCCACACAGAGCACAUGUACACCCAUCUCAACAGAUUGGAAAUGUCUGCCAUUUGCUAAAAAAUGAAAUCCAUCUGACACCUGGUCAUUAAACAGAAUAUUUUAUUCUUUUGCUGUGUUUUCUUUUUUUUUUUUUCCCAGACCUUUUUCAGAUUUCUAGGCCAACUUGUCUUCCACUUGGUAAUGUUAAUAUGCUCACUUUUGUCAGUAUAGAAGGUUUUUCUGUGAAAAGAAAAAUAUUUAAAAUAUCUGUGGUAUUUUUCCACAGUUUUGUUUAAAUUUAUACCUUUCUUCUUUUCUGAAAGAUGUCACUGUGGACAUGUUAGUUGUUGCUGCAGCUAAUAAAUAUUAUGAAAGCAGUCUGUAUUCGAUUGAGAAUUUUACUCUUUAUGGAUAUUAAAAGAUCUUUCACAUUUUUUUAAACUAUCAUUUCUUCAUAAGUUAGCCAUUUGAUAGUCCCAUAAAAAACAUUUUGGAGUUGCUCGACUGAGUCUUGGUCUACCUUGAAGGUAGAGAAAUAGCUCAUUUAGUAUCUUCCUGAACUGAUUUAACGAGGAAGGUGAGACAGAAUAACUGCUUCUGCUUUCCUUCGUUUUGCAGGCUGACUAUUGAUGAACCUACCCUAAUUUUUAAUUUUUCUAUGUAGUUUAAUCUGUUCCUAGUAUUUUGGUUUAGUUAGAGGACUUAAGUUGUUGCUUCAUUUUUAUUUUAUUGGUUUCUUCUUAGCCUUUUUUGCUCUCCGUCAUUUUCCAUUAGUUGGUGGAAUAGUGAUGGGCAAAAAUUGAAUUGCAGAUAAGGACAGGUUUCAUCCAAGCAGUAAACUGGGCUUCUGGUUGGUGGUUCUGGCUGCCUAUUUUCUUAUUAUUGUGGUCUCUUUUUUUCUUGAUACUGUUGCAGAAAUACUCUGUGAAGGAUAUCAACUGAUUUAUAUCAUAACAGGUCAUGUUUGGACUGUGAGAGAAAAUGCAUAAAGGUACUGAAGUAGCAAAAGCGUGCAUGGAUAACUUGAUGGCUGGAGAAGUGGCAGAGGGACUAUAAAAAAGCAUUUCACUCAUUAUAGCCUGCAGCACACACAUGCAAAAUUGAUGCCAAAAUACUGUUGACAUUUAAUCUUAAACUUGCAAUAUUUUUCAGUUGUAUUACAAGCUUUUCAGAAUUGGAAUACCCUUUAAAACAGGAAUAGAAAAACACUGUAGAUCAACUGUUGAUUUCCAUUACUGGUUCUGUAUUUACAAAUACGCUUUACAUUCUGUUUUCAUUAAACUCCUCAGCAGA